UACGUAGGGUGCGAGCGUUAAUCGGAAUUACUGGGCGUAAAGCGUGCGCAGGCGGUUGUGCAAGACAGAUGUGAAAUCCCCGGGCUUAACCUGGGAACUGCAUUGUGACUGCACGGCUAGAGUGUGUCAGAGGGGGGUAGAAUUCCACGUGUAGCAGUGAAAUGCGUAGAUAUGUGGAGGAAUACCGAUGGCGAAGGCAGCCCCCUGGGAUAACACUGACGCUCAUGCACGAAAGCGUGGGGAGCAAACAGG
rnacentral:rRNA from 1 species